AUUGAACGCUGGCGGCAGGCCUAACACAUGCAAGUCGAGCGAGCGGCGGACGGGUGUGUAAUGUAGGGGGCUCUGCCCGCUAGAGGGGGAUAACUACUGGAAACGGUGGCAUAUACCGCAUACUAUCGGGUGCACCCAUAUGGGAUUAGCUAGUAGGUGGGGGAAAGGCUCACCUAGGCGACGCUCUCUAGCUGGUCUGAGAGGAUGAUCAGCCACACUGGGACUGAGACACGGUCCAGACUCCUACGGGAGGCAGCAGUGGGGAAUAUUGCACAAUGGGCGCAAGCCUGAUGCAGCCAUGCCGCGUGUAUGAAGAAGGCCUUCGGGUUGUAAAGUACUUUCAGCGAGGAGGCGUUACCCGCAGAAGAAGCACCGGCUAACUCCGUGCCAGCAGCCGCGGUAAUUC
rnacentral:rRNA from 1 species